rnacentral:rRNA from 1 species
GCAAGUCGAACGGGGAACUUACUUAGCUUGCUUUGAAAGUUCCUAGUGGCGAACGGGUGAGUAACACGUGAGUUACCUGCCCUGAAGCGGGGGAUAGCCUUUCGAAAGAGAGAUUAAUACCCCAUGUGAUCGUAAGAUUAAAGGCGGCCAUUUAUUUGGCUGUCGCUUCAGGAUGGGCUCGCGGCCUAUCAGCUUGUUGGUGAGGUAAAGGCUCACCAAGGCGAUGACGGGUAGCUGGUCUGAGAGGACGACC